rnacentral:lncRNA from 1 species
GUAACAUAGAAGUGCUAGAACCUUCCAUGAUGCUUUAUAAAAGAGGCUGUAUGAAGGCAGGACAGAAUCUACAGUAAGAUCUUAUUGGAAAACUUUCCUGUAUUUCUUAAUAAUGAAAUACUACCAGUUUGGACAUUUAACAUUUGAAGGAUUACAUAAACAUUGUGUGUUUAAAAAAUAUCUUUGGAGAGAGGAUUUAUAUUUGUUGUAUAUUCUAAAUUUAGAUUGGACUGUGUGUCACACUGUGAAAUCUUUUGGAAUCUAUACUGAUUGGAUUUAAUUUUGACUAGGACAGGAUUUGGACUAUUCUUGCAUAUCAGUCUGGACUUUUCGGCUAGUUAACUUUUUUGCAUAAGUUUCUGGUGAUGCUACUUGACAAAUAUCUAGUCAUCAGCUAUAUAAAAUCCUGAGGAAUAUUGUUGUAGAUAUCACGUACUUGACAAGAAGAUGAAAACAACACAGAUACAGAUAAUUUACAGACAUUGAGGGAAUGCAUCAGAAAAUCAAAGAAGAGUCCAUUUACUGAUGCAGGCCGCCAGAAGUUUGUUAAAGACAGCUGUGGGUAGGAAUCCAGAUGUCGUCGUGAAACACAAUUUACUUGUUGAUUUCUGAUUUUCACAAUCAAGGCAUGACAGCAGAUCCGCCGUUGGGCACGUUUUAAGAACGCAUGGAGCAAAGUAGUAAUCUGUCACCUAAAAUAUAACUUUUUCAUAUUACAACGUUUCUUUUUUAAGUUCUUCUUACGACGAAAGUCUUACAACCUAUCCAUGUGUAUAAUACAAGUUAGCUAUUA